rnacentral:rRNA from 1 species
UACGGGGGGGGCAAGCGUUGUUCGGAAUUACUGGGCGUAAAGGGCUCGUAGGCGGCCAACUAAGUCAGACGUGAAAUCCCUCAGCUUAACUGGGGAACUGCGUCUGAUACUGGAUGGCUUGAGUUUGGGAGAGGGAUGCGGAAUUCCAGGUGUAGCGGUGAAAUGCGUAGAUAUCAGGAAGAACACCCGUGGCUAAAGCGGCUCUCUAGAACGGUACUGACGCUGAGACGCGAAAGCUAGGGGAGCAAACAGG